UAACCAAUCAAGCCUUGCUUGGUAUUGGGGUUCGCGUUCCCGCGGCCUUCAAACUCAACAGCAGUCUAAGCAGACCCUAAGUGUAGUAACUUUUCUCACUUUUGGGCUCUGUGGUGGCUUGCUUAACCCUUACUUCUUAU
rnacentral:misc_RNA from 1 species